ACUCCAGCUUAGCAAUCAAUUCACAUCUACUGCACGAGGUUGCAAUUUUGUGAAGCAGACUCCAAGGUAUUCUCUCUUUUAUAACUCCAAUACGAAUUUCUCAUUUGUCAUAUUUCCAAAACUUAGAACAAACAAAAAAAGAAAGAAGGAAUCUUAUUGUUUUUUAUAUCAUUAUCAUUGCAAUCUGUUUUUCUUUUCUUAUCGGAUAUUUCGCCCCGUCAAAUAUAAAUCUUUGAUACAGUGGGCUAGCAAGAUAAUGCAACCAAAACUGGUGUCAACGCAAGAUUGGCAGUUACUAUAUAGCCACCAAAACUAAGAGGUACUGAAUCUUAGGUUUGAUGUAUCAGGGGUCGUUUUGUAGUCUCUAAUAGACUAAAACACGAAAGCACUUGCUCAUUACAACCACCCGUUCUUGCGUGGUAACAAUCAAGUUUAUUUCAUUAACAACGCGACCACUGCAAACGCAACCUAAGCAUAUCUUUGAUUCUUGCAAACCAACCAUGGGCGUGAGGUUUGUUUUCUGGAUCUAGUUCAUCCGUUUCCUUUUCUUGUUAUCCCGUGCAAAACUAUUGUAUAAACAGCUUUGCAUUCGUUAUUUGCAAUUAAGAUCUGGCUUUCGAGUAUGUAAAUUAGAGAAUAUUGUGCCCUGUGAUAUCCUUACCUUGGAGCUGUUUCCAAGUUUCUCUACUCUGUAUUGUUAUUUGCAAAUGGCUCCUGUUGUUUGGUUCCUUGGAUCUAAGUGAUGUAGCCUGAAGAUUGUGGUAUUGAAGAUGGGAUCUGUAGACCCCAUUGGAUGAUUGUUGGGCUGCUCGACUUCAAUGAUCAUGGCAUUUAGGGAAAAAGAGAGCGCAGGACCCUACGCAACAUUCUUUAUGAAGCUGCAUCACGCUAAAUGAGCUAUUGAGGUUUACAAUCUCGAUCCUGAUAAUCUUGUAAGCCAGUCAAGAAUUGCGUUUCUUAAACCACGAUUAUCUUACAGGUGUUCGAGAAAUCAUUUGUGUAAAUUCACUUUUAUCUUAUAUAUCCCCAAGAUGUUGGUUCCACAAUAAUUUUUCUUCUUUCCUAGGUGGGUUGAUGACGAGCUGUGGUCUUGGUGUUGAAAGUGCUUGUAACUGCAACCGUUAAAUCAUGGUUAAUGGUUAGGAUUUCAAUGGCAUGGAGAUCACUUCUUAAACAUUUUGUCAAAAGCAAGGGGUGGGUGAUUGCCAUCUUUUACCUAAUGUUUUCUUUUAUUCAAGCGCCGUAUAAAAAUGUCAUUAAU